rnacentral:rRNA from 1 species
UACGAAGGGGGCUAGCGUUGCUCGGAAUUACUGGGCGUAAAGCGCACGUAGGCGGCUUUCUAAGUCGGGGGUGAAAUCCUGGAGCUCAACUCCAGAACUGCCUUCGAUACUGGAGAGCUCGAGUCCGGGAGAGGUGAGUGGAACUGCGAGUGUAGAGGUGAAAUGCGCAGAUAUCGGGAGGAACACCAAUGGCGAAGGCAGCUCGCUGGGACGGUACUGACGCUGAGACGCGAAAGCGUGGGGAGCAAACAGG